AAUCGAUUUGGGGGAAAAAUCCCUAGACUCAUCCCCCUCCUUCCUCUCGGUGAAAGCGCCGCUCCACCCGGGUUGCCGGAGCGCCGCCGGCGUUUCCCCUCGGCAUCCCGCGUCGCUGCCCUGCUGAUGUUGCACCGUCGGAGAAGGAGAGGAGGCAUCGCCUCUCUCUCUCUCUCUGCACAAAUGGCUCCGCUCUCUUUUCCCCGGCGAAUUCAGUGUCGCCUCCUUCAAUCGCCGGUGCUUCGUCGCCAUUCGUCACUCUCAUCCUCGGCGAAAAUUUGGAGCUCCGUCGGUGGGAACUCCCGUCUCUCUCUCUCUCUCCGUCGAGUUCGGAGAAGUCCUCGGCUGCCCGACGAGCAGGGCUACCGCCUGCUGCGCCGCUCCAGCCAUCUCCGCCUUUCCCCCUCUUCUCCGGCGAUUCGCCGCUGCCGUCUUCACCUCAGGAGCUUAGGCUCGCCGUGGAGUUCCAGCCACGGUUGCUGCCUUCGUCACGUGGUCAGCCCCUGCUGCCCAUACGAAACCGGCAGCCACCGUCCUUCGCCGAGUCUCUCUCGAACCGCCACGGUAGUCCCCGAAACAACUCCGAACAGCCCCGACUCACCCCGAAGAUAAGUUCUCUACUCCAAGUUAUGUUCUUCUCUGUAUAUUUUUUCAAUUAACAGCCGGGGGGGGUGUUCGAUUUGAUUGUGCUUAAAAGAGUUGAUUUUGGAGGGACAUUAGCUCCCUGAAACGAAAUUCUACAUAUGCGUGCUACUGAUUUCGAGCAUAAAGGCAGCCUAUUGUACUCUUGUUCCAUUUAUGUGUUAAAGCUCUAACAAUGCUACUACUGUUAUGAGAUUUCUAUAGCUAUGAUUCUGUGUUCUUGAGCUAGCAUGAUGUUCUAAACAAGGGCAGAGGGUGUGCUUGUGUUAUAUUGAUUGUGAUUCUUAAGUUGUGGUGCCUCUAUAUGAUGACAUGAAAAUUGAUUGGGAGAAAAAGAAAAUGGAGGUGUAUUACCUCUGGAAAACGAAGGAGUGGCUGACUUUGCGGCUGUUCACUACUUGCUCCACCCUCUAACUCUCUGUUUUUGCUGAAAUUUUGAAGUGUGUGUGAAAGGAGUUGGUAUGUGGUGUGGAGAGGUCUUUAUAGGCUGAGCUUUGGUGUACUAUGGGGAAUUAAUUUGGCUGUUAUACUACCUUAUUCCCUUCUUGCAGAGAUCCCCCUUUUGACUAUGUUUCUGCAGCAAGAUAUACUUGAGAAUUGGCUCUAUUUGAAUACUUAGUACUUGGCUAUUAACUCCCAUUGUUUGCUUGUGGCUGGUGAGAAACAGGUGCUGCAUUAGGGUGGAGGAUUAGCAGGCUGGACUUGCCCCCUUUUGGGUUGGGAGGGGACUUGGGCUGCCAAGCUGCUGUCCGAGACGGCUUGAUGCCUCGGCCCAACGGGCUGAUCGGAGAGGGCUGCGACUUCCGGCCCGGAAGAAGAGACCCGAUGCCAUUUGUUCCAUGCAUAUUUCAUCUUUUUUUUUUGUUUCUUAGUUGUCAUUAAUUAAGCCUUGUUCUAAGUAUUGUAGUAUUUGAACAUUA